rnacentral:lncRNA from 1 species
UAAUUCAUCUUGUAGAUGUGUCCCCGUUAAGAAAAGAAUGGAAGAUUUUUGUUUGUGUUUGUUCGAUCGAAGAAUCUCUUCUUGAUAAUGCCUUUGUUAAGGAUCUUGUUGUGCAUGAGCUCGCAUAAGAAGCCUUGAUUCUUCACGAUUACGAUUCGAAGAUACGAAAAGUAAUUACAGUGAGAAAGAACGAAAAACAGAGCUCAGAGUUACUAGAGGAGCAAAUUGAGCCUCAUGGUGAAUCUACCAUGGAAAGCCAGAAGAUUUCAGAACCUGGAGUUUGGAGUUAGUACAACAACUGCUGAUCUUGUCGAAUCCUCUCGCAUUCAAAGUCUCCCGAUCUAUAUUCCCCGCACAAGUUGCUAGAUCAGAGCAACUCUGUUGGUUUACGAGCUUUACGCCAUCUUCGAGACACCAUCGUCCGGUCUCACUGCAACGAUAUUUCAAGCGUCACACUGCUGAAAUUUGAUUGCAAAAUAACAAAGAGAAGCCGAACAACGCUACAAACUCGUCCAGAGGAUCGGACAUAUUCAAACUUAAAUCCUGUCUCAAAUUUCGAUCGAAAAUAAGCCGGAUCAAAAACUGCAAAUCGAUUAGAGAACAUAUUCGAAUUCGGCAGAAGAAGGUAUGGCAAUUGGCGAAAGCAUGUCAACGAACCUUUUCCGAGCAUUGACAAGGAAGUUACUUCCACUAUGCGUUUUCUUUUAAUCAAACAGAACUCUUCGCCGGGACUCUUUCAUCGUCGUCUCCAGCUGCAGAGCUGCUCACAUCCCGAAAAUGAGAAAACAACAGAAUAUAUCAGAAAGCUUGAUCAUACAUGAAAAAACAAGAGAGAGACUGUUAAGGAAUUCGCACUUACACUUACAGUACACUCCGUGAUCCGAAGACGACGGCGAUUCAAGCUCGACGGCGGCAAAGACGGAGGAGAGAAGAAGAGAACAAGAGUAAAGGAUCAAAUUAUCCAUCGUUGCGUUUGCCUCUGAAAUUUUCAUUUCAUAAAUAAACCAGAUACCAACAGGCUCUGAUGUUGGGCUUUGUAUCCUUCUUGUGGACCAGUCGGCCGAGAAAAACUCUUAUCCAAUUUUCUGCUAAUGUUGUGGGCCCGUGGUAGGCUCCAUAAAUUUGAGAUUACACGCUGUAUAUCGUUACGUCACAAAUUUGUUAUUUACGAACACGGAUCAUUACAAAUUUAUGAAAAAAGAUUUCGUUUAAAUUAAGGUGACGGUGUCACGUCUAUUUUUCGUUCAUUAACGAUGUUCGAUGCAUGAUUGAUAUGUAGCCUAUUCUCGUAGGCAUGUGUGGCCAACUUAAUCUCUUUGUUAAAUCGUCUCGUUAGGUACAAACCAAUAAUGUGCUCUUCUAUGAAAUGUUGACAAUAC